rnacentral:rRNA from 1 species
GACGGAGGAUGCAAGUGUUAUCCGGAAUCACUGGGCGUAAAGCGUCUGUAGGUUGUUUAAAAAGUCUGCAGUUAAAAGUUGAAGCUUAACUUCAAAAAUGCCGUAGAAACUUUUAAACUAGAGGAUGGUAGGGGUAGAGGGAAUUUCCAGUGGAGCGGUGAAAUGUGUAGAGAUCGGAAAGAACACCAACGGCGAAAGCACUCUGCUGGGCCGACACUGACACUGAGAGACGAAAGCUAGGGGAGCGAAUGGG